AACUUGAGAGUUUGAUCCUGGCUCAGAACGAACGCUGGCGGCAUGCCUAACACAUGCAAGUCGAACGAAGGCUUCGGCCUUAGUGGCGCACGGGUGCGUAACGCGUGGGAAUCUGCCCUUGGCUUCGGAAUAACAGUUAGAAAUGACUGCUAAUACCGGAUGAUGACGAAAGUCCAAAGAUUUAUCGGCCAGGGAUGAGCCCGCGUAGGAUUAGGUAGUUGGUGGGGUAAAGGCCUACCAAGCCGACGAUCCUUAGCUGGUCUGAGAGGAUGAUCAGCCACACUGGGACUGAGACACGGCCCAGACUCCUACGGGAG
rnacentral:rRNA from 1 species